rnacentral:rRNA from 1 species
AGAUUGAACGCUAGCGGCAUGCCUAGCACAUGCAAGUCGAACGGUAACAGGCCCUUCGGGGUGCUGACGAGUGGCGGACGGGUGAGUAAUGCGUAGGAAUCUACCCACGAGUGGGGGAUAGCCCGGAGAAAUCCGGAUUAAUACCGCAUAUGCCCUACGGGGUAAAGCGGGGGAUCGUAAGACCUCGCGCUGGUGGAUGAGCCUACGUCCGAUUAGUUAGUUGGUAGGGUAAAGGCCUACCAAGGCUACGACGGGUCGCUGGUCUGAGAGGACGACCAGCCACACUGGCACUGAGAUACGGGCCAGACUCCUACGGGAGGCAGC